GACAUAGGUCUCAAGCGUUGUUCGGAUUCAUUGGGCGUAAAGGGUGCGUAGGCGGCGCGGUAAGUUGGGUGUGAAAUCUUGGAGCUUAACUCCGAAACUGCAUUCGAUACUGCCGUGCUUGAGGACUGGAGAGGAGACUGGAAUUUACGGUGUAGCGGUGAAAUGCGUAGAUAUUGGGAAGAACACCUGAGGCGAAGGCGGGUUGCUGGGCUGAUACUGACGCUGAGGCGCGAAAGCCGGGGGAGCAAACGGG
rnacentral:rRNA from 1 species